AUGCCGUCUCUCUCCUCUCCCCUGCACAGGUCCUGUGGCGCUACCCCUACCCCACCAUCUCCUGCGUGGGACGUUGCUUGGACAGGAGCAAUUUAUUCGCCUUCUGCGUGGCCGCUUCCCCCGGGAGCCCUGACGGGAGCACGUUCGAGUGCCUGGUGUUUGCAUCCAGUUCGGAGCAGGAAUGCGAAGAAAUCAUCACGAGAAUUGCUGCAGGAUUUAAACACACGGAGUGGUUUGUCUGAGAAGGGAGAGCCCUGGCUCCGGCCCCGGAGCUUCCCUGGACUGCGCCCGGGUCACCCGGCAGCACCCCCAGGGAUGCAGCACCCCCAGGGAUGCUCAGCAGGACCCCCAGAGAUACUCGACAGGACCCCCAGGGAUGCAGGACCCCAGGGAUGCAGGACCCCAGAGAUGUUCGCUGGCAACCCAUGUAUGCAGCACCCCCAGAGAUGCUCUGCAGGACCCCCAGGGAUGCAGCACCCCCAAAACACACUCGGCAGCACCCCCAGAGAUGCUCGGCAGCACCCUGAAGGACACUGGGCAGGACUCCCAGAGAUGCUCAGCAGCACCCCCAGGGAUGCAGGACCCCAAAGGACACUCAGCAGCACCCUCAGGGAUGCAGCACCCCCGGAGAUACUCGACAGCACCCCGGAGGACACUGGGCAGGACUCCCAGAGAUGCUCGUCAGGACCCCUAGGGAUGCAGCACCCCCAGAGAUGCUCACCAGCAACCCACGUAUGCAGCACUCCAAAGGAUGCUCAGCAGCACCCCCAGGGAUGCAGCGCCCCGAAGGACACUGGGCAGGACCCCCAGGGAUGCAGACCCCCUGAGAUACUCAACAGGACCCCCAAGGAUGCAGCACCCCGAAAGCUGCUGGGCAGCACCCCCAAGGACGAUGUCCCCAACUCCCGGAGCAGGAGCCAGGAUGGAUUUCACACUGCUCCCGGGCCACGCUGGUGGAAGGAGCUGGGAAGGCGUCCAGCCCCGUGGUGUCUCAUCACCCACCGCCCGGUGUGAGCCCCUUGACCCUUUUCCCUCCCCGAUGCCACCGCGCUUCGAAUUCCAUUGAAAUAAAUCAAGCCGGGCUCGCUCGGCUCCCUCCCUG
rnacentral:lncRNA from 1 species